rnacentral:rRNA from 1 species
GUUAAGCGACUAAGCGUACACGGUGGAUGCCCUGGCAGUCAGAGGCGAUGAAGGACGUGCUAAUCUGCGAUAAGCGUCGGUAAGGUGAUAUGAACCGUUAUAACCGGCGAUUUCCGAAUGGGGAAACCCAGUGUGAUUCGUCACACUAUCAUUAACUGAAUCCAUAGGUUAAUGAGGCGAACCGGGGGAACUGAAACAUCUAAGUACCCCGAGGAAAAGAAAUCAACCGAGAUUCCCCCAGUAGCGGCGAGCGAACGGGGAGCAGCCCAGAGCCUGAAUCAGUGUGUGUGUUAGUGGAAGCGUCUGGAAAGGCGCGCGAUACAGGGUGACAGCCCCGUACACAAAAAUGCACAUGCUGUGAGCUCGAUGAGUAGGGCGGGACACGUGGUAUCCUGUCUGAAUAUGGGGGGACCAUCCUCCAAGGCUAAAUACUCCUGACUGACCGAUAGUGAACCAGUACCGUGAGGGAAAGGCGAAAAGAACCCCGGCGAGGGGAGUGAAAAAGAACCUGAAACCGUGUACGUACAAGCAGUGGGAGCACGCUUAGGCGUGUGACUGCGUACCUUUUGUAUAAUGGGUCAGCGACUUAUAUUCUGUAGCAAGGUUAACCGAAUAGGGGAGCCGAAGGGAAACCGAGUCUUAACUGGGCGUUAAGUUGCAGGGUAUAGACCCGAAACCCGGUGAUCUAGCCAUGGGCAGGUUGAAGGUUGGGUAACACUAACUGGAGGACCGAACCGACUAAUGUUGAAAAAUUAGCGGAUGACUUGUGGCUGGGGGUGAAAGGCCAAUCAAACCGGGAGAUAGCUGGUUCUCCCCGAAAGCUAUUUAGGUAGCGCCUCGUGAAUUCAUCUCCGGGGGUAGAGCACUGUUUCGGCAAGGGGGUCAUCCCGACUUACCAACCCGAUGCAAACUGCGAAUACCGGAGAAUGUUAUCACGGGAGACACACGGCGGGUGCUAACGUCCGUCGUGAAGAGGGAAACAACCCAGACCGCCAGCUAAGGUCCCAAAGUCAUGGUUAAGUGGGAAACGAUGUGGGAAGGCCCAGACAGCCAGGAUGUUGGCUUAGAAGCAGCCAUCAUUUAAAGAAAGCGUAAUAGCUCACUGGUCGAGUCGGCCUGCGCGGAAGAUGUAACGGGGCUAAACCAUGCACCGAAGCUGCGGCAGCGACGCUUAUGCGUUGUUGGGUAGGGGAGCGUUCUGUAAGCCUGCGAAGGUGUGCUGUGAGGCAUGCUGGAGGUAUCAGAAGUGCGAAUGCUGACAUAAGUAACGAUAAAGCGGGUGAAAAGCCCGCUCGCCGGAAGACCAAGGGUUCCUGUCCAACGUUAAUCGGGGCAGGGUGAGUCGACCCCUAAGGCGAGGCCGAAAGGCGUAGUCGAUGGGAAACAGGUUAAUAUUCCUGUACUUGGUGUUACUGCGAAGGGGGGACGGAGAAGGCUAUGUUGGCCGGGCGACGGUUGUCCCGGUUUAAGCGUGUAGGCUGGUUUUCCAGGCAAAUCCGGAAAAUCAAGGCUGAGGCGUGAUGACGAGGCACUACGGUGCUGAAGCAACAAAUGCCCUGCUUCCAGGAAAAGCCUCUAAGCAUCAGGUAACAUCAAAUCGUACCCCAAACCGACACAGGUGGUCAGGUAGAGAAUACCAAGGCGCUUGAGAGAACUCGGGUGAAGGAACUAGGCAAAAUGGUGCCGUAACUUCGGGAGAAGGCACGCUGAUAUGUAGGUGAAGUCCCUCGCGGAUGGAGCUGAAAUCAGUCGAAGAUACCAGCUGGCUGCAACUGUUUAUUAAAAACACAGCACUGUGCAAACACGAAAGUGGACGUAUACGGUGUGACGCCUGCCCGGUGCCGGAAGGUUAAUUGAUGGGGUUAGCGCAAGCGAAGCUCUUGAUCGAAGCCCCGGUAAACGGCGGCCGUAACUAUAACGGUCCUAAGGUAGCGAAAUUCCUUGUCGGGUAAGUUCCGACCUGCACGAAUGGCGUAAUGAUGGCCAGGCUGUCUCCACCCGAGACUCAGUGAAAUUGAACUCGCUGUGAAGAUGCAGUGUACCCGCGGCAAGACGGAAAGACCCCGUGAACCUUUACUAUAGCUUGACACUGAACAUUGAGCCUUGAUGUGUAGGAUAGGUGGGAGGCUUUGAAGUGUGGACGCCAGUCUGCAUGGAGCCGACCUUGAAAUACCACCCUUUAAUGUUU